AGUGAACGCUGGCGGCGUGCCUAAUACAUGCAAGUCGAGCGAACACACGAGGAGCUUUCGCCUUUGCCGGUAGCGGGGGGCGGGUGGGUAACACAUGGAUCACCUACCUCUAAGACUGGGGUAACAUCGUGAAAACGCAGCUAAUAACAGCUAACAUGAUCUACGGCUUAAUGCAACAGUGAUAGAGAGUCUUUGCGUUACUUUUAGCUGGAUCCGCGCCGCAUUAGCUAGUUGGUAAGGUAACGGCUUACCAAGGCAACGAUGCGUAGCCGACCUGAGAGGGUGAUCGGCCACACUGGAACUGAGACACGGUCCAGACUCCUACGGGAGGCAGCAGUAGGGAAUCUUCCGCAAUGGGCGAAAGCCUGACGGAGCAACGCCGCGUGAGUGAAGAAGGUCUUCGGAUCGUAAAACUCUGUUAUUAGGGAAGAACAAAUGCGUAAGUAACUACGCACGUCUUGACGGUACCUAAUCAGAAAGCCACGGCUAACUACGUG
rnacentral:rRNA from 1 species